AACGAACGCUGGCGGCAUGCCUAACACAUGCAAGUCGAACGAAACCUUCGGGUCUAGUGGCGCACGGGUGCGUAACGCGUGGGAACCGGCCCUUAUGUUCGGAAUAACUCCCCGAAAGGGGUGCUAAUACCGGAUAAUGUCUUCGAACCAAAGAUUUAUUGCCUUGGGAUGGGCCCGCGUUGGAUUAGCUAGUUGGUAGGGUAAAAGCAUACCAAGGCGACGAUCCCUAGCUGGGAUGAGAGGAGGAUCAGCCACACUGGGACUGAGACACGGCCCAGAAUCCUACGGGAGGGAGCAGUGGGGAAUAUUGGACCAUGGGCGAAAGCAUGAUGCAGCAAUGACGCGUGAGCGAUGAAGGCCUUAGGGUUGUAAAGCUCUUUUAACCGGGAUGAUAAUGACAGUACCGGGAGAAUAAGCCCCGGCUAACUCCGUG
rnacentral:rRNA from 1 species